UCUCGGUCUGCAUUAACAAAUAGAACUUCCGCCAUUCGAGUGAGAAGGAGAAAGAAGAACGCUGUAAAGAAUAGGAGCAUAUUGAAUUUUUCUCCUGGCAGAAGAAUAUUUUUCACUUCUUGAAAAAAUGAAGACUUUUCAAUUUUACAACGACUUGAAAGAAUAUCUUUUACGGGAAGAAUUUAGCAACAAUUUAACGGUCAGAGAGCGAAGUGAAAUACGACGUGUGUCCGUGAAUUUUAUGAUUAAAGUCCAUCAUCCAUGCCCUGGCUACUCUACAGGGUGUAUCAGGACAGGAGGCAGAAGACUUAUUUCUUGGUGGCCCAGAAUACAGUAUCAGUGAAGUGGAAGAAUUUAACUGAAAGAUAGGGCAGCAAUUAAAGAAGGAGGGAAUGCUGUGAUAUCUGUUAGAAUAGAAGAUGGUGCUACUGCCCAGUGCUUCCAGAAUCCUUCAUUUGAGUCUUGGGUCUGAAUCUACUGCAUCAUUGCCAAGUAUUCUGGGGUAAUGUAUCUUGUUUUGUUUACAUUUUGUUUUUCUCCAUAUUCCAAGCUCAUUUACUUGACCUUAGCUUUAAUAAACUGGAUGGCUGUCUCCUUCACAAUUGAUUUUAAAGUACUAUACUAUUCAUUACAUAAAAAGCUCUGAACAAUUUAGUCCCUUCCUGUAUUUGGUACUGUCUCUCCCCCAUCACUCCUCAAUGUAAUCU